GUCCUUUAACUCGUUGCAUAGGCUGUAAUUGCUUUCAUAGGUGCUUCAACUAUGACGUAACAAGUUUUGCACACCUUGAUUUGGGUAGUUUCUGCCAUUCAUCUCUACACAUCAUCUAAGAGGAACAUAAACAUGUAUUCUUGACCCUAUAACGUUAAUAACACUAUCUAGCCUCCCUGGCCCCCUAAAAAUAUAGUAAAGUCUUACCUUUAUUCCAGUCUGCUGGUGCCAACUGUGCCCCUGAUCUGCCUUCUUGGCUGACAAUCAGAACUGAUUAUCUCAGCCAAUCUCAACAGGAAAGCAUUGGAUUGGCUGAGAUUGUCAAUUUUGAUAAUAUCUUUUUUUAUUUGAAAAAAGGAAGUAGAGACAACGUUUGGC